GCUGAACGCUGGCGGCGUGCCUAAUACAUGCAAGUAGCGCGAAGCGGGGGAGGGUGAGUAACACGUGGAGAACCUCCUAUACGACUGGGAUAACUUACGGAAAACGUAGCUAAACAGGAUAAUUAGAGAUGGAUCCUCGCUGCAUUAGCUUGUGGGUAAGGUAACGGCUUACCAAGGCAACGAUGCAUAGCCGACCUGAGAGGUUGAUCUGCCACAACGGAACGGAGACAAGGUCCAGACGCCUACGGCAGGCAGCAGUGGGGAAUCUUCCGCAAUGGGCGAAAGCCUGACGCAGCAACGCCGCGUGAGUGAUGAAGGUCUUCGGAUCGUAAAACACGGUUAGUAGGGAAGCGGCACCUAAUCAGAAAGCCCCGGCUAACUCCGUGCCAGCAGCCGCGGUAAUUC
rnacentral:rRNA from 1 species